GCACCUGCAAAAUCAGGUGCCAGGAUUGGAACCCUGAAUCACUUCAUCGAUGACAUAAAAGCGCAUCUGCGCUUUUUUU
rnacentral:sRNA from 1 species